CCUUGAAUAAAGCCUUUGCCUUUCAAACUCUGUCCUGCCCAUUUUUCUUUGACAUGUUCAGAUGUUGGCAAGGCUGAAAACUGCAGGGGAUCUGGUUGUGAUAAUCCAGGCCUGAAUAUACAAAUAUGAACAAGACCCACAAGGACUGCUCGUCACCCCAGUAUUCCAUUUACAACAUCAUGAACGAACUCCCAAUCAGGCCUAUAUCUCUGUCUUGCAGCCAAAUAUCCCGCUUACUCCUGGUAUCUACCUGGUCAGCAACCUCCUGAGUUAUCUCCCAGUGACAAACCAUCCCAAAGUUGCACCAGUCCAGCACAAAGUAUGACUGUCAAUCUCACAAAAGAUGUAGGGUUCUAGGAGGAUACUCAGAGUAUAAGAAUUACGCUAAGUGAAAUAAGCCAAGCCCAGAAAGACACAUACUUUAUUAUUUCAUGUAUCUGUGGAAUCUAAAAGAGUCAAAUUCAUGGCAGCAGGGAGAGGGCUGAGGAAGGGGGAGAUGUUGAUCAAAGUUUCUAUGUAUACAAAGGCCAAAGCAUCACAUUAUGCCUCAUAAAUAUAUACAAUUAUUAUUUGCCAAUUACAAGUAAAGCAAUAAAAGAAGAAAAAAAGGAAUCAUAAGUAAAUCCAUGACAAGUGAAAAUGCAAUGGAGAGAAGGGAAUCAAUGAUUGAAGAGAAAGG
rnacentral:antisense_RNA from 1 species